GCUGGGCAUGGUGGCACGUGCUUGUAGUCCCACCUACUCGGGAGGCUGAGGCUGGAGGAUCGCUUGAGUCCAGGAGUUCUGGGCUGUAGUGCACUAUGCUGAUUGGGUUUCUGCACUAAGUUUGGCAUCAAUAUGGGGACCUCUUGGUAGCGGGGAACCACCAGGUUGCCUAAGAAGGGGUGAACUGGCCCAGGUCAGAAAUGGAGCAGGUCAAAACUCCCAUGCUGAUCAGUAGUAGGAUUGCGCCUGUGAAUAGCCACUGCACUCCAGCCUGGGCAACAUAGCAAAACCACAUCUCU
rnacentral:SRP_RNA from 1 species